rnacentral:lncRNA from 1 species
GGCCCCCCAGCAGGAGCGCAGUUAGGACCUGAGGGUGCUGGCACCCAGCCCGGGGCCUCAGGGCCAGCCCUGCAGCAGCUGCCAGCCCCGGCUGGCUGCGGGGCCUCGCGGGGAGCGGCAGGGGACACGGGGUGGGAAGGAGGAGCAGGGCCGAGGUGCGAAGUGGGAUGUGCCAGGACCCCGACCUUACAGCUGGAUGCUUGCUAGGAAGUUCCCCUCCGUGCUCAGGGCGUGAGGGGGGCUGAGAGCGUGGCGGCGUCCCCCAAACCUGCUCCCCCCAGCCCCGGGGGCGGGCUGCUUGCUGGAAAGCUCCCCGAAGCACAGCCCCUGCGGGAGGCUGGGCUAUGGAGGCAGCACAUGGAGCAGCAUCUCGACAGGCAGAUGGGGAGGCAGAGGCAGCGCCGGGGAGGAUGAAGGGGCAGCUUUUCGGCACCAGGCCUCUCCUCCAGCGGGCAGCGCCGCGCUCCCCACGCCACGCGGGCUGGAGGCUGGCGUGGAUAAAAGCGGAGCUCACCGUUAAACCGCUGCCACGGGGAGCUGGGGAGGCCGAGGGCACAAAGCGGACCCGAAACUGGAGCGGGUUCCUGGCAGGGGGGCCCGUUGGGGCGGUUAGGGGCGAUGUGACCCCGCCGUGGUGCCCUGCCCUCACGCCUCGAUCCUCGAGCACCCACCCCGCUGUCACCCCGCAGCCAUGGGGCCGGCUGUGCCUGAUCCAUGGGGGGUGCACAGGGGGCACGGGGGGCUCUGUCCUCUCCUCCCAGCCCCCAAGGGACACCCUGCAGGGGAGGGCGGCACAGCAGAACCCGAUGUCCCCGCUGCCACCCACCCCUCUCCACAGGGACAGCCCAGAGGGCGACCCCACCGCGCCCCCCCAACCCCAAACCCCCCCAGAACCCCCCGGCCGCCCGCCCCAAGCCCCCCACACCCCAAAUCCUCCUGGAGGGGCUGGGGGGAGGCUUUGGGGGCCGGGCAGAGCUCACGGCCCCGCUGCGCCCACCCCCGCGGGGCGCCCGGGCCUGGUGCGCGCCCCCCCGUGCGCCCCCCCCCGGCCCCACCGCGGCUCCCGGGGCCCCCCCGGGACCCUCCCGGAGCCCGGCUCCGCCGCCCUCUCCCCUCCCAUCCCCUCCCCUCCCCAGCCAGGCCCCGCCGCUCGCUCACCCACCCACGGCGGCCGGGCCCGGGGCCUCUCUCCAGCUCCAGCUCCAGCUCCAGCUCCAGCCCCGGCGGCCCGGCGCGGUCAGCGGCCCCCGCCGCCUCCUCCUCCUCUUCCUCCUCCUCCGCCGCCUGCCCCGGCCGCCGGCCCGCGGGCGCCCAUCGCCGGGGCUGGGGGUCGGGGGGGUCGGGGGGAGAGGGGGAGCCCCGCCGGAGCCGCUCCGCCGAGAGCCGCAGGGCCACGGGCCGCGCCCGCACCCGGCUCCGCCCGCCGCCGCCGCACCGCCAGGGGCCGCCCCGCUCCGCCCCGCCGGGGCCGGGCCUCCACCGGGGAGAGGGGCUGGGGGCGCCCCAUGGGGGGCUCUGCGCUCUGCACCCCUAAAAGGGGCACCUCACGGCCCCUCACGGCCCUGCUGCUGCUCCCUGCGCCCACCCCCACCCAGCCGUCCUCCAGCUCUCGGCCUGGUUCCGUAGCAUGGGGGGUUUUCUCCUUCAAAUAUUUCCCCACCCAGUUAAGGUGCAAGGGGU